CGGAGGAUGCAAGCGUUAUCCGGAUUCAUUGGGUUUAAAGGGUGCGUAGGCGGCCUUUUAAGUCAGUGGUGAAAUCCUGCCGCUUAACGGUAGAAUUGCCAUUGAUACUGAAAGGCUUGAGUCCAGUUGAGGUAAGCGGAAUGUGUAGUGUAGCGGUGAAAUGCUUAGAUAUUACACAGAACACCAAUUGCGAAGGCAGCUUACUAAACUGUAACUGACGCUGAUGCACGAAAGCGUGGGGAGCGAACAGGAUUAGAUACCCUGGUAGUCCACGCCGUAAACGAUGUUCACUCGCUGUUUGCGAUACACAGCAAGCGGCCAAGCGAAAGCAUUAAGUGAACCACCUGGGAAGUACGAUCGCAAGGUUG
rnacentral:rRNA from 1 species